AUGCUCAUGGCAGUUUCUGGCGCAGCUAGCCAAACGCAAUUAUCCGCACUCGCUUUCUGUGCACUAGUGGUGGUGGCGGCCGUGUCCUUGUCGGCUCGCUCGGCAGUCCGUCGUCCCCGCUCAAAUUGGAAGCUUUCCGGUGGUUACGCGGUACGGGCGGGGCGGCGGCGUCAUAUCUCUUUUCGAGGCACGACGAGGCGGUUGGAGGCUUGGAGCGUGUGAUUUGCAAGAGGACAGGACAGGACAGGAGAACGCCCAAGUUGAGGUUUGAGCGGCACACGUCGAUGAGAUUUUCUAGAAAUUCUGUUGAGGCAGUUAGCUGCUGGUGUCCAAUGCAGGAUGGCUGGCGGUCGAGACUGAAACCACGACGGCGGAGUGAACCAGCGAGCUCUCCGUCCGGUGGGUGGGUGCCGAUGCCUGUACUCCCCGGGCUUCAUGUCGAUUCAGGCGCUUGAGCUUGCUUUCCCGAACACAAAUGUUCAGUUUGCUAAUUACCUGGUUCGUUGUUUCUGUACAAAUAGAGUUUGGGUGAAGUCUGUUCACCAUGACACUCAGUUAUGGUAUUUGUGCCUUUUGACUAUUGGUUUGUUUGGUGUGAGAGUUGUAUUAUGAUGAAUACACAAUGUGAAGUUACAUAUUUGAUUCUGAGAAGCUUUAAUGUUGUAAAUA